UACGGAAGGUGCAAGCGUUAGUCGGAAUUACUGGGCGUAAAGGGUGCGUAGGCGGGAACGAACGUCAGAUGUGAAAUUCCGGGGCUCAACCCCGGAGCUGCAUCUGAAACGGUGUUUCUUGAGGACUGGCGGAGAGAAUGGAAUUCCAUGUGUAGCGGUGAAAUGCGUAGAUAUAUGGAAGAACACCUGUAGCGAAAGCGAUUCUCUAGCUUAAUCCUGACGCUGAGGCACGAGAGCAAGGGGAGCAAACAGG
rnacentral:rRNA from 1 species